ensembl:lncRNA
CGGAGAUAUGAAGCAACACAUCUGUAACUCCCACAGAAUGGGGGCAUCUCGCCACCAUAAGCGCCAUGCUGAGCCAGGUGACAGAACUCCCGCUACGGAAAUCCAAUCAGGCCAAUCCUCCACGAUCCCUUACAAUCCUCUCAGCCGCCGCCGUACACCGCAAGCCAUCGAUUGAGACACAGAGGAAGAGUUUCCAAGGGCAAACAUGUGAUCUUUAUUCAAGCCGAAAGGCAAGCGGGAAUGCUUCAGAAUUACUGUCGAGGUUACGGAGAACCAAAUGUGUGAUGCCGCAUUAUGGAUGCAAAUCCAACAUCCCCCAUCACUACCUUCAUGAGAGCAGCUGGAAAAAGGGCAGCAGGAGAGAUGGAGUUUCAACGACAUUGAAUGCAAUGCUGGUUUGCUAGAAGUUUCUCAUUAAAAGUUAGAAGGGAUUUUUGGAACGAGCCCAGAAUUAAAACAACCCAUUUACCCUCUAAGUGUGGCGUGACAGGUGGCGUUCCUAACAUACUGAUACAUGCUUUAUAACUCAUACAUAAGCUUUAUGCAAUCAAAGGUUUUGAUCCGCAUCCAGCAAUAUCAUUUAAAAUGAUUUACACACAGUGUUUUGCCCCUGUGUUUCAAAAGAGGCAAUUAUGCUGGUAUCG